rnacentral:rRNA from 1 species
CGCCAGACUCCUACGGGAGGCAGCAGUGGGGAAUAUUGCACAAUGGGGGAAACCCUGAUGCAGCGACGCCGCGUGAGCGAAGAAGUACCUCGGUAUGUAAAGCUCUAUCAGCAGGGAAGAAGAUGACGGUACCUGACCAAGAAGCUCCGGCUAAAUACGUGCCAGCAGCCGCGGUAAUACGGAGGAUGCGAGCGUUAUCCGGAUUUAUUGGGUUUAAAGGGUGCGCAGGCGGCACGGCAAGCCGGCGGUCAAAUCGCGGGGCUCAACCCCGCCCAGCCGUCGGAACUGCCGGGCUAGAGUGGGCGAGAAGUGCGCGGAAUGCGUGGUGUAGCGGUGAAAUGCGUAGAUAUCAGGAGGAACACCGGUGGCGAAGGCGGCCUGCUGGACUGCGACUGACGUUGAGGCCCGAAAGCGUGGGGAGCAAACAGGAUUAGAUACCCGGGUAC